rnacentral:lncRNA from 1 species
GUUAAAUAUAACAUUAAAAUGACAACAUGAUAUUACAGGACUACAAUACAAAUAAAUGGGAGAACGUAUUAGGCAAAGAAACACAUGAAUAAUAGAUAACAAAAGGCAUCAGGUUUAAAAUUCAAUACGAAAAAAACGCGCCUCGUCCACACAAGACUUACCAGUGACGCCCAGAUAUAAAAGUUCGAAAUUCAAAAAAAGGUACAAAAUUGUACAGCACUGAGGAUCAAAAGUUGAAAAAGGUUGUGCUAAAUACGACUAGGGUUUUCUGCUUGUGAUAAGAACAUCCUUAGUAUGUAGAACAAUUUAUGCUACUGCAAACAGUAAAUUUUAUCAAAUGAAUAUAAAAGAUAUACAUGAUAAAACUGAAGUCUUAACUAAUUACAGAAAACAAAACCCGA